rnacentral:rRNA from 1 species
GAAGAACGCUAGCGGUGUGCCUAAUACAUGCAAGUCGAACGGUUCUUUCUUUGAUGAAGCUUCGGCAGAUUCGUUGAAAGAAUAGUGGCGAACGGGUGAGUAAUGCAUGAGUAAUCUGCCCUAAAGACCGGGAUAAGCUUUCGAAAGGAAGUCUAAUGCCGGAAAUAAAAUCAGAUCGCAUGAUUUGAUUUUCAAAGGUAGCUUUUUAAGCCUCUGCUUUUGGAUGAGCUCAUGUCCUAUCAGCUAGUUGGUGAGGUAAAGGCUCACCAAAGCUAAGACGGGUAGCCGGUCUGAGAGGACGGUCGGCCACACUGGGACUGAGACACGGCCCAGACUCCUACGGGAGGCAGCAGUAGGGAAUCUUGCGCAAUGGGCGAAAGCCUGACGCAGCGACACCGCGUGGAGGAUGAAGGUUUUCGAAUCGUAAACUCCUGUCAAUAGAGGAAGAAGGUAUUAUAGGUGAAUAGCUUAUAAUAUUGACGGUACUUUGUAAGGAAGCCCCGGCUAACUACGUGCCAGCAGCCGCGGUAAUACGUAGGGGGCAAGCGUUUUCCGGAUUUAUUGGGCGUAAAGCGCACGCAGGUGGCUUUUUAAGUCGGAUGUGAAAUCUCUUAGCAAAACUAAGAAAUUGCAUCCGAAACUGGAUUGCUUGAGGUCGGGAGAGGAGAGUGGAAUUCUCGGUGUAGCGGUGAAAUGCGCAGAUAUCGAGAAGAACACCAUUAGCGAAGGCGGCUCUCUGGAACGAUACUGACACUAAGGUGCGAAAGCUAGGGUAGCAAACAGGAUUAGAUACCCUGGUAGUCCUAGCUGUAAACGAUGGGCACUAGAUGUAGGGAGAUAUCGACUCUUCCUGUGUCGUAGCUAACGCGUUAAGUGCCCCGCCUGGGGAGACGACCGCAAGGUU